CCCAGCGAGCCGUCCCUCGCCUUCGUCAAGUACGACCUCGCCAGACCCAGGGGCAGGCGGAAAGACAAGAAAGGACCCUCAGCCCAGACGCUUCUCAACGCUGGUCAUCUCAAAAUCGGAAUGGUCUUGAUCUAUCAAAAGACCCGGAUGCUAUACUCUGGCUUCCCUCUUGCAAGCUACGGUUGCAGGAAGCAAGACUUCUUGGGUUUCAUAUCCAAGCACACACAAUAUAACUUCAAGUUAAGAGCAGGUUUCCCAGACGUCCCUCUCUCCGCUUCCGCCAGUAAUACCAACAUUUCUACAGCCAGCACUUAGCGCCGAUAAAAGCAAAACCCUCGCGAACAAACAUUUUUUUGUUUUUCCUGAGCCCUCUUAUUUUCUUAGUCUUUAUUUGUUCCCCUUUGAUGGCUCUUCAUCCUGGAAAUCUCUUCAGCUUUCCCCGUUGCGUCUGGUGUACCUGGACAAGAGUCAGAUAAGAAUCACCUUCCCAAUAUGAGCCGUUUCUUCCCUUCAGGACCACAGCGUUCUCCUCUGCUAUGAAACCCAUCAUUUCAGAUUUACAAAUAUUUCUGUAGUAUCCUUUGCGUGAAUCGCCCGCGUGUUCUGUUUCGCUCCGAGAACUGCAGUGGCGUACGAAUGAUGCCAUGAAAUCUGAUUCCAAAUUGAACCCAGUAUUAAUCAUUAUGAUAUUGUUACUGUGGUAUUUUUUUCUAAUUGGCUCCUACUGCUCUCUAGAAAUCCUGCUCUCAUACAAAGAGAUUCUAAUUCCCUUUAUUGUAUCUUAAGAUCAUGUCUUGCAUCCUGUGUUAUCAUAUCAGUGAAAUAAUUUCCUUAUCUCUUACUUAUUCGUGUUGAUUGUUUAUCUGAAGAUGAUAGUGUAUCUCGAAACAAUUUCCCUGCAAUGUAUUCUACUACUCCUCUUCUCUCUCUCUCUCUCUCUCUCUCUCUCUCUCUCUCUCUCUCUCUCUCUUUCUCUCUCUCUCUCUCUCUUUCUCUUUCUCUUUCUCUCUCUCUCUCUCUCAAGGAUUCCCCCUACCCACUCCCUUCGUAAUUAAGUUCCUUCCAUCCGGUCUUCCAAAAGAUUUAUUACAGUCACUCUUGCCACUAAUUAAGGUAUCUAACUUUCUUCCGGUUUCCUGUGGUAUAUCUUUACUUCCACAGUUCCUUUAUCUGAGGCGAACUUGAAACCAAAAUAAAAAGACUUAGGCCGAUUAUGUGGCAUACUCUGUCGUUCCUGCUCAUCUCCACUGAAAAGGAGGAGAAGGUUGCAACAGGUCCGUUCAUCUAUGCAAUCACCUCAUAUUGCAGACCAUUGUUGAGAAUGUGCUAACCUCAAAUGAGUUAAUCGGUGACUGUGUGUCAGUUAUAGAGAACAUUUCUAGGACAAGAAGAUUCUCCCGCCAUUUGGAAUGUCCUGUAGUGUUAUUACUAAUGUCCACGUCUGAUUUUAUUCUUAUUUGCCAAAAUAUGUACUUCCUUAAGAUAUAAAUUGAAAUUAGG
rnacentral:lncRNA from 1 species